rnacentral:rRNA from 1 species
AGCAGCCGCGGUAAUUCCAGCUCCAAUAGCGUAUAUUAAAGUUGUUGCAGUUAAAAAGCUCGUAGUUGAAUUUCGGGAUCAAUUUAUCGGUCGUGCCUAUGGUAUGAACUGGUACAAUUGGUUUCUCCCUUCUGACGAAGCAUGAUGUCAUUAAUUUGGUGUCGUGGGGAAUCAGGACUGUUACUUUGAAAAAAUUAGAGUGUUUAAAGCAAGCAUUAGCUUGAAUACAUUAGCAUGGAAUAAUGAAAUAGGACGUUUGAUCCUAUUUCGUUGGUUUCUAGGAUCGACGUAAUGAUUAAUAGGGAUAGUUGGGGGCAUUAGUAUUCAAUUGUCAGAGGUGAAAUUCUUGGAUUUAUUGAAGACUAACUACUGCGAAAGCAUUUGCCAAGGAUGUUUUCAUUAAUCAAGAACGAAAGUUAGGGGAUCGAAGACGAUCAGAUACCGUCGUAGUCUUAACCAUAAACUAUGCCGACUAGGGAUCGGAUGAUGUUAAUUUUUUAAUGACUCA